UACAGAGGGGGCCAGCGUUAUUCGGAAUUAUUGGGCGUAAAGGGCGCGUAGGCGGCUUUGCGUGUCUUUCGUGAAAUCCCUCGGCUCAACUGAGGACGUGCGGAAGAAACUGCAGGGCUGGAGUCCGGGAGAGGAGGGUGGAAUUCCCAGUGUAGCGGUGAAAUGCGUAGAUAUUGGGAGGAACACCGGUGGCGAAGGCGGCCCUCUGGACCGGUACUGACGCUGAUGCGCGAAAGCGUGGGGAGCGAACAGG
rnacentral:rRNA from 1 species